rnacentral:misc_RNA from 1 species
GAAAUGCGAUAAGUAAUGUGAAUUGCAGAAUUCAGUGAAUCAUCGAAUCUUUGAACGCACCUUGCGCUCCUUGGUAUUCCUUGGAGCAUGCCUGUUUGAGUAUCAUGAAAUCUUCAAAGUAAAUCUUUUGUUAACUCAAUUGGUUUCUACUUUGGUAUAGGAGGUCUUUGCAGCUUCACACCUGCUCCUCUUUGUUCAUUAGCUGGAUCUCAGUGUUAUGCUUGGUUCCACUCGGCGUGAUAAGUUAUCUAUCGCUGAGGACACUGUAAAAGGUGGCCAAGGUAAAUGCGGAUGAACCGCUUCUAAUAGUCCAUUGACUUGGACAAUACUUUUAUGAUCUGAUCUCAAAUCAGGUAGGACUACCCGCUGAACUUAAGC